AAAUUGAAGAGUUUGAUCAUGGCUCAGAUUGAACGCUGGCGGCAGGCCUAACACAUGCAAGUCGAGCGGAAACGACAACAUUGA
rnacentral:rRNA from 2 species